UACGUAGGGGGCAAGCGUUGUCCGGAUUUAUUGGGCGUAAAGAGCGUGUAGGCGGCCAGGUAGGUCCGUUGUGAAAACUAGAGGCUUAACCUCUAGACGUCGAUGGAAACCAUCUGGCUAGAGUCCGGAAGAGGAGAGUGGAAUUCCUGGUGUAGCGGUGAAAUGCGCAGAUAUCAGGAAGAACACCGACGGCGAAGGCAGCUCGCUGGGACGGUACUGACGCUGAGGCGCGAAAGCGUGGGGAGCGAACAGG
rnacentral:rRNA from 1 species